rnacentral:rRNA from 1 species
AACAAACGCUGGCGGCGUGCCUAAUACAUGCAAGUCGAACGGGGAAGUAGCAAUACGAGUACUAGUGGCGCACGGGUGAGUAACACGUAGGUAAUCUCCCUUGAAGCGUGGGAUAACUAGUCGAAAGAUUAGCUAAUACCACAUAAGACCACAGGAUCUGCGGAUCUAGGGGUCAAAGGUUUUUCGCUUAAGAUGAGCCUGCGCGAGAUUAGCUAGUUGGUGAGGUAAUGGCUCACCAAGGCUACGAUCUCUAACUGGUCUGAGAGGAUGAUCAGUCACACUGGAACUGAGACACGGUCCAGACUCCUACGGGAGGCAGCAGUGGGGAAUAUUGGACAAUGGGCGAAAGACCUGAUCCAGCAAUGCCGCGUGAGUGAUGAAGGCCUUAGGGUUGUAAACCGCUUUUAGUCGGGAAGAAAAGGCAAGGGUUAACGACCUCUUGUUCUUGACGGUACCGGCGGAAUAAGCACCGGCUAACUACGUGCCAGCAGCCGCGGUAAA